AAGUCACCUAUUUUGCAGGGAUUUUAUGAGACCUGAAGAUUAAGGAACUUUCGCUGCUAUUCGUACCAGUUUCAUGUCUGUUAAUGUUUUGUGAUCCUCAAAGGCCCAAUGCCAUUGUAUGCAAAAAAUCAGGGUGAGGAGAGACAUGUCCAUGCUUUGGGGUAGAUUGUUCUUCACUUGCUUUUCAUCUAUCCUGUUCAUAUUUCUCUCCUGAAUUCCAGAACACCGAGCACUGUUCUGGAGUUUCAGAAGGGGACUUUAUGCUGUCAGAAAGGAGGAUGACGUGGGCCCCCUGCAAGUGGACAGUCAGGGCAUGAUGGUUUAACUCCAGCCACCCAGAAGGAGUCAGGUCCAGAUUUGGAUAACUGUAUAUCCACACUAGAGGCUCUUAUUUUAACAAAAGCCAAAUGAGAUUAACUCAGGAGCUAUGACCCAACCUUUCCACGAGGUGAUCAGAGGAGAUCCUACAUGAAUAAACACUGCCCCUGUCAGCCGUGUGGACAUUUUGAUUUUUGUUUUUUCCUCUCUGAACCACCCAGUACAUCGUAGCCAGGUCUAAUAACCCUACAGAGCAGCAGCCAAUGGUUCUCUGCUGACUCCAGGGGUGGGCUCACCUCCAGCCUGCCACGGUGAUUGUCAGCUGCCCUGUGCUGCAGUUCACCCUUUGUCAGAGAUAAGAAUGGAUUAUUCUCUGUGUUCUGGACCAGAUUCUAGAAUGUUUCUAGAAUGUAUACCAGGCAGUACCACUUCCUUCUUGGUUCACUCAGAGGAAGACCCCCCAACCUGCAAGGGGACUAAGUCAAAGCUACCAAAUUCAACUUUGACCUUCUCUGGUGACUCAGUUUUCUUUCCAAUACUCUAAUUUCUUCUAGCGAUGGCCUGCAUCACACCAAGAACCGCCA
rnacentral:lncRNA from 1 species